rnacentral:rRNA from 1 species
GACGAACGCUGGCGGCGUGCUUAACACAUGCAAGUCGAACGGAAAGGCCAUGAUUUUGUGGGGUGCUCGAGUGGCGAACGGGGGAGUAAAACGUGAGUAACACGUACUUGAAUUUGGGAUAAAUUCAGGAAACAGGGGAUAAUACAGGAUAGGAGAUAUUGAUGCGUGGUGGGGGUUGGAAAGAUUCGGCGGUUUGGGAUGGAAUGGCGGCUUAUCGGCUUGUUUGGGGGGUAGUGGAUGACGAAGGCUUUGACGGGUAGCCGGCCUGAGAGCGUGACCGGGCUCCAUGGUCCUGCGAGACGGCCCAGACUGCUAUGUUCGGCAACAGUGGGGAAUAUUGCACAAUGGGCGGGAGUCUGAUGCAGCAACGUCGCGUUCGGGAUGAUGUCCUUUGGGUUGUAAACCGCUUUCGCCUGUAACGAAGCGUGAUUGACGGUAAUUGGUAAAGAAGCACCGGCUAACUACGUG